UACGUAGGGGGCAAGCGUUGUCCGGAAUCAUUGGGCGUAAAGCGCGUGUAGGCGGCUCGGUAAGUCCGCUGUGAAAGCCCGGGGCUCAACCCCGGGAUGCGGGCGGAAACUGUCGGGCUAGAGUCCGGAAGAGGCGAGUGGAAUUCCCGGUGUAGCGGUGAAAUGCGCAGAUAUCGGGAGGAACACCGGUGGCGAAAGCGGCGCACUGGACCAGAACUGACGCUGAGGCGCGAAAGCGAGGGGAGCAAACAGG
rnacentral:rRNA from 1 species